rnacentral:rRNA from 1 species
AUUGAACGCUGGCGGCAGGCCUAACACAUGCAAGUCGAACGCGUGGCGGACGGGUGAGUAAUGUCUGGGAAACUGCCCGAUGGAGGGGGAUAACCACUGGAAACGGUAGCUAAUACCGUAAACUAUCGGAUGCGCCCAGAUGGGAUUAGCUAGUGGGUGGGGUAACGUCUCACCUAGGCGACGAUCCCUAGCUGGUCUGAGAGGAUGACCAGCCACACGGGAACUGAGACACGGUCCAGACUCCGACGGGAGGCAGCAGUGGGGAAUAUUGCACAAUGGGCGCAAGCCUGAUGCAGCCAUGCCGCGUGUAUGAAGAAGGCCUUCGGGUUGUAAAGUACUUUCAGCGAGGAGGCGUUACUCGCAGAAGAAGCACCGGCUAACUACGUGCCAGCAGCCGCGGUAAUAC